rnacentral:lncRNA from 1 species
AAUGAAAAAAAUGCAUGGCAUACAUCACCAAGAAUCAAAGGUUGUGCCUGGCAGUGUGAUUGACUCUGUAAUAAAGAGAGAAGCUUUGCUAGCUCCUGAUGCAGCUGCUGUCUGCAGACCCCCUGGACUGCCUGGGGAAGUGAGUUGGAGCUCCUGCAGCAGAGGGGUGGAACAGCUACAUGAAGAUCCGAAGGUGGCCAAAAAUAACAGCGCUUUCCAGAUGAGGGAGCCAGUUGUCCAGCACAGUGUAAUGGGAUGGUGGGCCCUGGUGCCACAAUGCCCGGCAUCUCCACUAGAUACAGCUUUGAGAUCUUCAUGA